CCUACGGGAGGCAGCAGUAGGGAAUCUUCCACAAUGGACGAAAGUCUGAUGGAGCAACGCCGCGUGAGUGCAGAAGGGUUUCGGCUCGUAAAGCUCUGUUGGUAGUGGAGAAAGAUAGAGGUAGUAACUGGCCUUUAUUUGACGGUAAUUACUUAGAAAGUCACGGCUAACUACGUGCCAGCCGCCGCGGUAAUACUUAGGUGGCAAGCGUUGUCCGGAUUUUUUGGGCGUAAAGGGAGUGCAGGCGGUUCAAUAAGUCUGAUGUGAAAGCCUUCGGCUCAACCGGAGAAUUGCAUCAGAAACUGUGGAAUUUGAGUGCAGAAGAGGAGAGUGGAACUCCAUUUGUAGCGGUGGAAUGCGUAGAUAUAUGGAAGAACACCAGUGGCGAAGGCGGCUCUCUGGUCUGCAACUGACGCUGAGGCUCGAAAGCAUGGGUAGCGAACAGGAUUAGAUACCCUUGUAGUC
rnacentral:rRNA from 1 species